AAAUUGCUGGAAUGCUACUGCGAGACGGACAAGGUCUGCAUCUGCAUGCUGUGCUCCGUCCUCAUCUCCCACAGGGAGCACAAGAUCAUCAGUUUGGAGGAGGCUUUUGGCCAAGCACAGCGUGUUUUUCCCGAAACUCUAAAAGAGGUGAAAACUAUGAAGCUGCGCUGGAUCGAAGCAUAGCAAACCUGCUGGAAAAAGCGGAGGAAGUAAAGGUUAAGGAGGGUCUGCAGUGGCAACGGCUGGAGAGCCUAUUCAAAGAGAUCAGUCUGCAGCUAGAGAAAAAAAAAAGUGAGAUCCUGAAAGCUCUCAGUGACUAUGAGAACCAACAAGUUUCUCGGAUUCAUAUGGAUAAAGAACCACGAAAAGCAGAAGGAUUCAGCCAGCCAUGAUCUUCAGGAGCUGGAGGCUCUGAGAAAUCAGAAGAUAUACUUCUUUUCACCAGGGCUUUUACAGCAAUUCAAGCCAGGUAAGA